GAGGUGCAGCAGCUGCAGGUGCAGGAGGUGGACUCCAUGGUGAAGAGUCUGGAGAGAUAGACCAUCCGGAAGCUGCAGGGCCUCAUGUUCUGGUGCAGCACCAGCUGUUGUGCACAUGCAGCAGGUGCACCGGUGCAUUGAGUGCUGGCAUGCGCCUCUGGCUCAAGCCCAAGCCUUGGGGACCAGCUAGCUGGAGAAGUUCCAGGACUGCCUGACCGGGUGUACCAUGCAUUGCAAUGACAAAGCCAAAGAUUCAACAGAUGCAGGGAGGAAGGAGCUGCAGGUGAAGCAGCCACUGGAAGAUUGUGUGACCAAGGGUGUGGAUGGCCACACGCACCUCAUCCAGACCAUGAGCAAGGCAAGGAAGGUGUCUCUCUUAUCCACUGGGAAAUAA
rnacentral:lncRNA from 1 species